AAACACAUGGCGCCCGCCUAAACAUGCAAGUCGAGCGGACAGAUGGGAGCUUGCUCCCUGAUGUUAGCGGCGGACGGGUGAGUAACACGUGGGUAACCUGCCUGUAAGACUGGGAUAACUCCGGGAAACCGGGGCUAAUACCGGAUGCUUGAUUGAACCGCAUGGUUCAAUUAUAAAAGGUGGCUUUUAGCUACCACUUACAGAUGGACCCGCGGCGCAUUAGCUAGUUGGUGAGGUAACGGCUCACCAAGGCGACGAUGCGUAGCCGACCUGAGAGGGUGAUCGGCCACACUGGGACUGAGACACGGCCCAGACUCCUACGGGAGGCAGCAGUAGGGAAUCUUCCGCAAUGGACGAAAGUCUGACGGAGCAACGCCGCGUGAGUGAUGAAGGUUUUCGGAUCGUAAAACUCUGUUGUUAGGGAAGAACAAGUACCGUUCGAAUAGGGCGGUACCUUGACGGUACCUAACCAGAAAGCCACGGCUAACUACGUGCCAGCAGCCGCGGUAAUACGUAGGUGGCAAGCGUUGUCCGGAAUUAUUGGGCGUAAAGCGCGCGCAGGCGGUUUCUUAAGUCUGAUGUGAAAGCCCCCGGCUCAACCGGGGAGGGUCAUUGGAAACUGGGGAACUUGAGUGCAGAAGAGGAGAGUGGAAUUCCACGUGUAGCGGUGAAAUGCGUAGAGAUGUGGAGGAACACCAGUGGCGAAGGCGACUCUCUGGUCUGUAACUGACGCUGAGGCGCGAAAGCGUGGGGAGCGAACAGGAUUAGAUACCCUGGUAGUCCACGCCGUAAACGAUGAGUGCUAAGUGUUAGAGGGUUUCCGCCCUUUAGUGCUGCAGCAAACGCAUUAAGCACUCCGCCUGGGGAGUACGGUCGCAAGACUGAAACUCAAAGGAAUUGACGGGGGCCCGCACAAGCGGUGGAGCAUGGUGGUUUAAUUCGAAGCAACGCGG
rnacentral:rRNA from 1 species